GGGAGCAUAGCUAAAGAGUAGAGCAUUUGACUACGGAUCAAGAGGUCCCUGGUUCAAAUCCAGGUGCGCCUC
rnacentral:tRNA from 1 species